GGAUAGCUCAGUUGGCUAGAGCAUGGUUCUGAUUAUGCCAAGGUUGCAGGUUUGAUCCCCGUAAGGGGCAGCU
rnacentral:tRNA from 1 species